rnacentral:misc_RNA from 1 species
AAAUAAAAAGGGGAGCCGCUAGGCUCCCCUUCAGGUCGUGUUGCUUUGUUCUUCUUCUGCUGACGGGCUUGUUGUUUUUGUUGGCAGCCCGGUCGGACAUCGUCCGAGUAGCAGUCCCAUAAGGGACAUAAAGAACAAACGGAUUAUUUUGGUCGCUGAUGUUGCCACUACCCUCGCGGGCUCAACCGGUUCUGGAGCUGCCUCAAGGCAGUU